rnacentral:rRNA from 1 species
CUACGGGAUGCAGCAGUGAGGAAUAUUGCACAAUGGGGGGAACCCUGAUGCAGCAACGCCGCGUGGAGGAUGACGCAUUUCGGUGUGUAAACUCCUUUUAUAUGUCAAGAAAAUGACGGUAGCAUAUGAAUAAGCACCGGCUAACUCCGUGCCAGCAGCCGCGGGUAAUACGGAGGGUGCAAGCGUUACUCGGAAUCACUGGGCGUAAAGGACGCGUAGGCGGGUUGGAAAGUCAGGUGUGAAAUCCUACAGCUUAACUGUAGAACUGCACUUGAAACUUCUAAUCUAGAGUAUGGGAGGGGGAGGUGGAAUUAGUGGUGUAGGGGUAAAAUCCGUAGAUAUCACUAGGAAUACCUAAAGCGAAGGCGAUCUCCUGGAACAUUACUGACGCUAAGGCGUGAAAGCGUGGGGAGCAAACAGGAUUAGAUACCCUGGUAGUC